rnacentral:rRNA from 1 species
AUAUUGCACAAUGGGGGGAACCCUGAUGCAGCAACGCCGCGUGAGUGAAGAGGUGAUUCGUUAUGUAAAGCUCUAUCAGCAGGGAAGAAAAGGACGGUACCUGAGUAAGCAGCCCCGGCAAAGUAGGUGCCAGCAGCCGCGGUAAUACGUAGGGGGCAAGCGUUAUCCGGAUUUACUGGGUGUAAAGGGAGCGUAGACGGCCACGCAAGUCUGAAGUGAAAUGCCAGUGCUCAACACUGGAACUGCUUUGGAAACUGCUUGGCUGGAGUGCAGGAGAGGUAAGUGGAAUUCCUAGUGUAGCGGUGAAAUGCGUAGAUAUUAGGAGGAACACCAGUGGCGAAGGCGGCUUACUGGACUGUAACUGACGUUGAGGCUCGAAGGCGUGGGGAGCAAA